rnacentral:rRNA from 1 species
UGGGGAAUAUUGCACAAUGGGCGCAAGCCUGAUGCAGCCAUGCCGCGUGUGUGAAGAAGGCCUUCGGGUUGUAAAGCACUUUCAGCGAGGAGGAAGGGUAGUGUGUUAAUAGCACAUUGCAUUGACGUUACUCGCAGAAGAAGCACCGGCUAACUCCGUGCCAGCAGCCGCGGUAAUACGGAGGGUGCAAGCGUUAAUCGGAAUUACUGGGCGUAAAGCGCACGCAGGCGGUUUGUUAAGUCAGAUGUGAAAUCCCCGCGCUUAACGUGGGAACUGCAUUUGAAACUGGCAAGCUAGAGUCUUGUAGAGGGGGGUAGAAUUCCAGGUGUAGCGGUGAAAUGCGUAGAGAUCUGGAGGAAUACCGGUGGCGAAGGCGGCCCCCCUGGACAAAGACUGACGCUCAGGUGCGAAAGCGUG